rnacentral:lncRNA from 1 species
AAACAAGAAAGGAUAAAACCAACCAAGCUUGAAUGUGGCCUGCUCUUGCUGAAAAUGUAGUCAAAAGUUUCUAGCGUUCACCAAGAAGGGGGAUGAAAUUUGGUCCCAAAAGAAAACUUUCAGGAUCGAGGUGCAGAACAGAACUAGGAAAGUCAAGUCACCCAUCCAAAGGCCCCUGGCUAUUGAGCAGUCUAUUUGAGACCUUGGAUUCUUGGAACCUAGACCGGUGGGUCAACGUGUAAGAACGCUUACAGUACAAGCAUAAAAACUUCAGUUUGGAUCUCCACAACCCAGUGAAUAAGCCAGGCCCAGUGGUGUGCAAAUCUGCAACCCCAGUCUGUCCCUAUGGAGAAGCGGGAAGUGAAGACAGGAGAGUUAAUAAAAGCUCCUGACCAACUAGCCCGGUAAAUACAGCUGUGGACAAAAAGAGAAGCCUGGUCUCAAAAAGCAAGGUGAGGGCUGGAGAGAUGGCUCAGCAGUUGAGAGCACUGACUGCUCUUCUAGAGGACCUGAGUUCAAUUCCCAACAGCCACAGGUGGCUCACAACCAUCUGUAAUGAAGCUGGUGCCCUCUUCUGGCCUACAGGCAGAACACUUACACAUAUUAAAGAGAACACUCUGUACAUAUACAUUUAAAAUAAAUAAAUAAAUAAAUAAAUAAAUAAAUAAAUAAAUAAAUAAAUAAAUAAAUAAUAAAAACCAACAGUAGCAAUAACAAAAAAGAAAAGUGAAAGAUAAGGAGUGACCCCUGAGGGUGUCCUCUGACUGUCACACAUGCACUGUGGCAUGUCUGUGCCCACAUUCAAACACUCAUGGCCACAUACUUCACAUAUGCUCACAUACAUACACAAAGACCUUGGGUUCUCAAGGGCUGAUUUAGUAACUGCCCCCCCCCCCCACAGUGUGUGUCUGUGUGUCUGCAUGUCGGUAUGUCAGUGGGUACACAGGUUCCUAGGCGUGUACAGAAAGCAUAGGGUAACAUCAGAUACCCUGCUCUAUUACUCUUAGCCUUGAGACGGGGUUUUCCACAUAACCUAGAACUGUACUGGAAGUCAGCAGUCCCCAGAGAGCCUCCUGCUCCCACAUACACCCCAGGCAUAAGCCACACUUGGCUGUUUGCACUAACUUGGGCAGGGGAUUCAAACUCAAGUCACCUUGCUUGUGCAGCAAACCCUCUUACCCUCUGAGCCAUCCCUUCUAUACAAGAGUUGAUUUUGAGGAAUAACAAGACAGGUAACUGAGAUAUAAAAUGGCAUGACCCUGCCUCAUCUCCUGCCAUAGUAGGCAGGAGCUAUGGUUCAAAUGGAGAAAUGAAGUCAUCUGAAAGGAAUGUAGGGAAAUCCAACAGGCCCCAGCCCACGUGACCCAUAGGGAGACACUCACUGGUUGAAGCAAUGGGCAGCAGUCAACACCCAGUCCUCAGCAAUCAGAGAUCCCCCACACACGUGCGCCCCAUUCUCUCGCACGCUGACCUGCCAAGGCCACCGGCCCAGCUGGGCAUCUUGUCCUGACACGAUGCGGCCUGAUGUCCUGGGACGUCCACACACUGCAAGGAAUCAGUAGGAUUGGGUGAUACAUGGCUAUCCUGCCCUUCUCUAUACCCUCAAACCUGGCUCGUUUGUCACCGCCCCUGGGAGCUUGACCAGUGUGGGCCAGAGGAUGUCUCAGGUAUCUGGUGCCUAAUAGCACCUGCCUAGUAUAAGGCCAGAAGGAGCCAGGAUCAAACAGCUCUCUGGGUCUGCCUCCAAACCUAUAAUUUUGCUGCCUCCUUCCUGUAAUCCCAGCACCUGAAGACUGAAUCAGGAGGAUCGGGAGUUCAAGGUCAGCUUCAACUAUGCAAUAAAAUGGAGGCCAGCCUGAGCUACAAUGAGACCAGGAAUCAAAACUAAAAGAAACAGAAUAAAACUAAAAACAAGACAAACAAAAAAGCCACCCAAACAACAAAACCUGCAUUCUACGUAUCUUCCCGAAGCUCCCGUUCCCCAUACACCACCUCACCUGAGUACAAGUCAAUGCUCCUCCUGCCUGUCGUGGUAGACGGGCUGUCAGAGUCGGUUGUGAGGACCUCACUCCCCAGAAGAACUCCAGGAAAGAAGGUAAAUAGGAUGGCAGGCAGAGCCAGCUCCAUGGUACACCUGCUGGGGCCAAAGACUCCAGGAAGAGGAAGAGGGACUGCAGCUCUGGAUGUGGUUUCAGGACUUGCCCUGGGGUGGGGCUCAGCCUCCACACCUGCCCUGCAGCCUUGGGAGAGGCCUCACAUGUCCACUGUCCCUAGGCACAGAGACCCUGACUUCCCUACAUGCUUCAUGCUCUGGGGUCCUCUGGUCCUCCCCUUCCUGAUCCAGGAACCGCAGCAUCCACAGCCCUCAACUUUCAUUGAUGCAGAAUCAUUGUAUAGUAUGCCUGGCACGUGCAUGGACCACAAUGGCACCCUCGGGAGCCUUCGUGUCCAUCGCUGUCCACCAGAGGGCAGCCAUGGGCCUAGCUCUAGGCAGAAGGGUAUGCCAGCAUUGGGCUGGAGGAGGAGGCAUGUGGACAUCCUUUCAGACUCCUGUGGUAUUUGUCUUCUCUAGAAACUUCUCUUCUGUUGGCUGCCCUUCACUCAGUCUCUAGGCAACUCCUUUCAAAAAGGAUUGUUCCCAGAAAGGCUCACUGGCCUUCAAACACCCAGAUGCCCCCACUGAAAUGGAAACUGUACACAGUAAUUACUUCGCCAGCUGCAGUGUCGCUUUAUGCUUCAGUCCCAGACCCCAUCUUAUCCAAUAUUAAAGUCUCCACAUCCAUCUCC